rnacentral:rRNA from 1 species
AUUGAACGCUGGCGGCAUGCUUUACACAUGCAAGUCGAACGGCAGCGCGGGCUUCUUCCUGGCGUCGCGUGGCGAACGGGUGAGUAAUACAUCGGAACGUGCCCUGUCUUUGGGGAUAGCUUGGCUACAGCCGGAUUAAUCCCGCAUCCGAUCUUAUGUUGAAAGCCGUGGAUCUUCGGACCUCGCCCUUUUUGCUCUCCCUAUGACAUAUUAGCUCGUUGGUUGGGUAAAGGCCUACCAAGGCGACGAUCUGUAGCUGGUCUGAGAGGACGACCUGCCACACUGGAACUGAGACACGGUCCAGACUCCUACGGGAGGCAGCAGUAGGGAAUUUUGGACAAUGGGCGAAAGCCUGAUGGAGCAAUGCCGCGUGAGUGAUGAAGGCCUUCGGGUUGUAAAGCACUUUUAGCGGGAAAGAAAAGAAGUGUAAGAAAACAACGGUGCGAUGACGGUACCCGAAGAGUAAGCAACGGCUAACUACGUG